rnacentral:rRNA from 1 species
CGAUGUGGAGCGAAACCCGAAAAGANACCCCCAGUUCGGAUUGCAGGCUGAAAUUCGCCUGCAUGAAGCCGGAAUUGCUAGUAAUGGCAGGUCAGCAUACUGCCGUGAAUACGUUCCCGGGCCUUGUACACACCGCCCGUCACACCAUGAGAGUUGGGGAUACCCGAAGCCUGUGAGCCAACAAUAUAUUGAGGCAGCAGUCGAAGGUAGAAUCAAUGAUUGGGGUGAAGUCGUAACAAGGUACC